AGCUCUCAACAGUGUAAAUAUAUAGUAACUAGAAAUCUUUAUUCUUCAUUUACACAUAUUUGUGGAUCCAAACUGAUAGCUAGCUCAUCACAAGCAAGCUGUACGCGAGAACACAAUAUCACAACUCAUAUAUAGGUACUGUAACUGUGCAUAAGCUAAACAAUAUGCAGAUGUGGUAAAAUGUGUGGAUAACUGGGGUGGGACUGUACGUCCGCUCAUGGUUUUGCCUCCGGCUCCGGGUAGUGGCCCUCCGGCUUCGGUGGCAGCUCAGCUUUCGGCAGAGGCGGCAACUCGUGGUUUGGCACCUCCGGAACGUCUGGGUGCGGCAGCUCUGGCACGGUCGGGUGAGGAGGGAGUUCAGGCUUUGGCAGCUCUGGCGCCACUGGGUGCGGCGGCACCUCAGGCUUUGGAAGCUCUGGGACGGCCGGGUGAGGAGGCAGCAGUUC
rnacentral:lncRNA from 1 species